rnacentral:snRNA from 1 species
GGAUGUGAGGUCGAUCGGGGUGCAACAUCUGUCACCUCAUUGAUCACCAGGGUUGAUUUGGCUGAUCUGGCUGGCUAGGCAGGUGUCCCCUUCCUCCCUCACCACUCCAGCUCCACGUGCAUCCCUCCUGAAGGUGCACACUUGGUCUAAGAGAUGAUCCCCACACCCAUAGAGGAGGAUCAUUUCCUCAGUCAAGGGUAUAAGAGUAGCUGUGCUCCCCUGCUAGACCCUCCAAACAUGCUCUCAAGAAAUGAUCUGCAUAAGGUCAUAUAUGGUAAACAGUCAAGAGUCAAAUUCAAAUCUUU